UGGUCAAGUUAUUAAGGGUGCAGGGCGGAUGCCUUGGCACUAGGAGCCGAUGAAGGACGUGAUAAGCUGCGAUAAGCUUCGGGGAGUUGCACGUAAACUUUGAUCCGAAGAUUUCCGAAUGAGGAAACUCACUUAGAGUAAUGUCUAAGUAUCAUUAAGUGAAUACAUAGCUUAAUGAGGGGAACUCAGGGAACUGAAACAUCUAAGUACCUGAAGGAAGAGAAAGAAAUUCGAUUCCGUAAGUAGCGGCGAGCGAACGCGGAUUAGCCCAAACCAAUAAAGUUUUCUUUAUUGGGGUUGCGGACAUAUCAUAACGAAGAGGUAUCGUAAUUGAAGAGGUUUGGAAAGACCCACCACAGAAGGUAAUAGUCCUGUAUGUUAAACGAGAAGACUUUAGAUAUGAUCCAGAGUACCACGGGACACGUGAAACCCUGUGGGAAGCAGGAGGGACCACCCUCCAAGGCUAAAUACUACCUAGUGACCGAUAGCGUAUAGUACCGUGAGGGAAAGGUGAAAAGAACCCCGGGAGGGGAGUGAAAUAGAACCUGAAACCCUGCACUUACAAGCUGUGGAAGCACAUUUCUUGUGUGACCGCGUACUUUUUGUAGAACGGGCCAACGAGUUACGUUAAGUAGCAAGGUUAAGCACUUAAGGUGUGGAGCCGUAGCGAAAGCGAGUUUUAACUGAGCGUUCAGUUACUUGACGUAGACCCGAAACCGGGCGACCUACCCAUGAGCAGGAUGAAGCGAAAGUAAAAUUUCGUGGAGGUCCGAACCCACGAGCGUUGAAAAGCUCGGGGAUGACUUGUGGGUAGCGGUGAAAUUCCAAUCGAGCCCGGAGAUAGCUGGUUCUCCCCGAAAUAGCUUUAGGGCUAGCCUCAAGGUGAGAGAUACGGAGGUAGAGCACUGAAUGUCCUAGGGGGUAUUGCACCUACCGAAGACUAUCAAACUCCGAAUGCCGUCAUCUUAUACUUGGGAGUCAGACUGUGGGUGAUAAGAUUCAUAGUCGAAAGGGCAACAGCCCAGAUCGUCAGCUAAGGUCCCUAAAUGUAAGUUAAGUGGUAAAGGAUGUGGGAUUGCACAGACAACCAGGAUGUUGGCUUAGAAGCAGCCACUCAUUCAAAGAGUGCGUAAUAGCUCACUGGUCGAGUGAUCCUGCGCCGAAGAUUUCCGGGGCUAAAACUUACUACCGAAGCUACGGCAUCAGUAAUGAUGGGUAGGGGAGCUUCCCAUACGGGUUGAAGCAUGACCGUAAGGACAUGUGGACAGUAUGGGAGUGAGAAUGUUGGCAUGAGUAGCGAGAUGUGGGUGAGAAUCCCACAGGCCGUAAACCCAAGGUUUCCAGGGGAAGGUUCGUCCGCCCUGGGUUAGUCGGGACCUAAGCUGAGGCCGAAAGGCGUAGGUGAUGGACAACAGGUUGAUAUUCCUGUACUACCGAUAACCGUUUGAGAGAAGGGAUGACACAGUAGGAUAAGCUAAGCACACUGUUGGUUAUGUGUGCCCAAGCAUUGAGGCAGUCAAAGUAGGCAAAUCCGCUUUGAUAAUGCUGGGAUGUGAUGGGGAGCGAAAUUUAGUAGCGAAGUAGCUGAUUUCACACUGUCAAGAAAAGUCUCUAUCGAGGUUAAAGGUACCCGUACCGCAAACCGACACAGGUGGGUGAGGAGAGUAUCCUAAGGCCAGCGAGAGAACUGUUGUUAAGGAACUCGGCAAAAUGACCCCGUAACUUAGGGAUAAGGGGUGCCACCAUCAGGUGGCCGCAGAGAAUAGGCCCAAGCGACUGUUUACCAAAAACAUAGGUUUCUGCUAAGUCGCAAGACGAUGUAUAGGAGCUGACGCCUGCCCGGUGCUGGAAGGUUAAGGGGAUCUGUUAGAGCAAUCGAAGCAGUGAACUUAAGCCCCAGUAAACGGCGGCCGUAACUAUAACGGUCCUAAGGUAGCGAAAUUCCUUGUCGGGUAAGUUCCGACCCGCACGAAAGGCGUAACGAUUUGGGCACUGUCUCAACAACAGACUCGGUGAAAUUGUAAUUCCGGUGAAGAUGCCGGAUACCUGCGACAGGACGGAAAGACCCCAUGGAGCUUUACUGUAGCUUGACAUUGGGUCUUGGUACUACAUGUACAGGAUAGGUGGGAGGCUUUGAAACCAGGACGCCAGUUUUGGCGGAGCCAUCCUUGGGAUACCACCCUUGUAGUACUGGGACUCUAACCAUAGGCCAUGAAUCUGGUCUUGGGACACUGUCAGGUGGGCAGUUUGACUGGGGCGGUCGCCUCCCAAAAGGUAACGGAGGCGCUCAAAGGUUCUCUCAGUACGGUCGGAAAUCGUACGUAGAGUGUAAAGGCAAAAGAGAGCUUGAUUGCAAGACAUACAGGUCGAGCAAGGAUGAAAAUCGGACUUAGUGAUCCGGUGGUUCUGCGUGGAAGGGCCAUCGCUCAACGGAUAAAAGCUACCCUGGGGAUAACAGGCUUAUCUCCCCCAAGAGUCCACAUCGACGGGGAGGUUUGGCACCUCGAUGUCGGCUCAUCACAUCCUGGGGCUGUAGUAGGUCCCAAGGGUUGGGCUGUUCGCCCAUUAAAGUGGUACGCGAGCUGGGUUCAGAACGUCGUGAGACAGUUCGGUCCCUAUCCGUCGCAGGCGUAGGAAAUUUGAGAAGACCUGUCCUUAGUACGAGAGGACCGGGAUGGACGUACCUCUGGUGUACCAGUUGU
rnacentral:rRNA from 1 species